GAUGAACGCUGGCGGCGUGCCUAAUAUAUGCAAGUCGAGCGAACAGAUGAGAAGCUUGCUUCUCUGAUGUUAGCGGCGGACGGGUGAGCAACACGUGGGUAACCUACCUAUAAGACUGGGAUAACUCCGGGAAACCGGGGCUAAUACCGGAUAAUAUUUUGAACCGCAUGGUUCGAUAGUGAAAGACGGUUUCGGCUGUCACUUAUAGAUGGACCCGCGCCGUAUUAGCUAGUUGGUAAGGUAACGGCUUACCAAGGCGACGAUACGUAGCCGACCUGAGAGGGUGAUCGGCCACACCGGAACUGAGACACGGUCCAGACUCCUACGGGAGGCAGCAGUAGGGAAUCUUCCGCAAUGGGCGAAAGCCUGACGGAGCAACGCCGCGUGAGUGAUGAAGGUCUUCGGAUCGUAAAACUCUGUUGUUAGGGAAGAACAAAUUUGUUAGUAACUGAACAAGUCUUGACGGUACCUAACCAGAAAGCCACGGCUAACUACGUGCCAGCAGCCGCGGUAA
rnacentral:rRNA from 1 species